AGAGUUUGAUUCUGGCUCAGAACGAACGUUGGCGGCGUGGAUUAGGCAUGCGAGUCGAACGGAAGGUCGCUGAUUGAUCCUUCGGGAAAGAGAGGCGGCCGAUAGUGGCGAAAGGGUGAGUAUCGCGUGGGUAAUCUACCUUCAAGUUGGGGAUAACCCGCCGAAAGGCGGGCUAAUACCGAAUGUGAUUCUUGUUCGCAUGGAUGAGCGAUCAAAGGUGGGGAUCUGCUUCGGCAGACCUAUCGCUUGAAGAGGAGCCCGCGUCCUAUCAGCUAGUUGGUGAGGUAACAGCUCACCAAGGCUAAGACGGGUAGCUGGUCUGAGAGGAUGGUCAGCCACACUGGGACUGAGACACUGCCCAGACUCCUACGGGAGGCUGCAGUCGAGGAUCAUUCGCAAUGCGCGAAAGCGUGACGAUGCGACGCUGCGUGGAGGAUGAAGGCUUUCGGGUUGUAAACUCCUGUCAUGAGAGAACAAGGCCUCCGGUUUGAAUACAGCCGGGGGAAUGAUGGUAUCUCAAGAGGAAGUCACGGCUAACUCUGUGCCAGCAGCCGCGGUAAUACAGAGGUGGCUAACGUUGUUCGGAUUUACUGGGCGUAAAGGGUGCGUAGGUGGACGGGUAUGUUGGAUGUGAAAGCCCACGGCUUAACCGUGGAAUUGCAUUCAAAACUGCAAGUCUGGAGUACAGAAGGGGAGAGCGGAAUUCUUGGUGUAGCGGUGAAAUGCGUUGAUAUCAAGAAGAACACCGGUGGCGAAGGCGGCUCUCUGGUCUGUAACUGACACUGAGGCACGAGAGCUAGGGGAGCAAACAGGAUUAGAUACCCUGGUAGUCCUAGCUGUAAACGUUGUACACUUGGUGUGGGAGGAUUUGACCCCUCCCGUGCCGUAGCUAACGCGUUAAGUGUACCGCCUGGGGAGUACGGCCGCAAGGUUAAAACUCAAAGAAAUUGACGGGGGCCCGCACAAGCGGAGGAGCAUGUGGCUUAAUUCGAUGCAACGCGAAGAACCUUACCAGGGCUUGACAUGCAGCUGCAUGUUCGCUGAAAGGCGGACAGCCUACGAGGGUGCUGCACAGGUGCUGCAUGGCUGUCGUCAGUUCGUGCCGUGAGGUGUUGGGUUAAGUCCCGCAACGAACGCAACCCCUGUGUCUAGUUGCUACCGGGUAAAGCCGGGCACUCUAGACAGACUGCCUGUACAAGCAGGAGGAAGGUGGGGAUGACGUCAAGUCAGUAUGGCCCUUACGCCCUGGGCUGCACACGUGCUACAAUGGCUGGUACAAUGGGAUGCAAAGCCGCGAGGUGGAGCAAAUCCAGAAAGCCAGCCCCAGUUCAGAUUGCAGUCUGCAACUCGACUGCAUGAAGUUGGAUUCGCUAGUAACGGCGCAUCAGCUACGGCGCCGUGAAUACGUUCCCGGGCCUUGUACACACCGCCCGUCACAUCAUGAAAGCUGUCUGCACCCGAAGUCGUUGAUCCAACCCGCAAGGGAGGUAGAUGCCGAAGGUGUGGGUAGUGAUUGGGAUGAAGUCGUAACAAGGUA
rnacentral:rRNA from 1 species